rnacentral:sRNA from 1 species
CGCUGGAUGAGGAUCCGUGGGGGCGGC